AUAUAUAUAUAUACACGUCCCCACACGUUGCAACAGUUAAGGCUCCCUCCUCCGUUCGGUGACCAGAGCCGUCAUCAUGAUCUCCUUCCUCCGCCAUUCGGUCACUUGAGCCGUCAUGACCUCCUUCCUCCUUCAUUAUUGGAUUACCGGAGCCGACAUCCUCUCCUUCUUGACCACCGGCGUCGUUGAGGUAUGACAAGGGAUCACGUGCGUCGCGGAUUAUAUCCCCCAACAAAUCU
rnacentral:lncRNA from 1 species